GUAUUUUGUAAUAGUCACAAUGUUAUCAAAAAGAAAAAAGAAACAUUAUAUAAUCGUAGAAUGCAGAUAAAAUUAAAUGCAUCUAUUUAACUGCGAGUGAAAAAAAUACUAGCUCCGCCUCCCGGAAUGACGUCAUCUGCGCGCGUUGAGUUGAGAGAGAGGCAGAGUCACAGCGUGAGAGAGGAGUGAAACGAGAGAAACGUGAACAGCUGGAGCGAGCUCGCGGCCCGCGUCGUGUAUAGCUGUAAAAUUUGAGAAAUUAGAAGUAAAACAAGCAGUUGAAACUUGAUUUAGUUGCUGUAAUAUACUACUGUCCGUACUCAAACCCCCAAUCGCGUUUGGACCAAGGACAGGAAUCGUCUGAAGCACAGAUCUGAUUAGGCUGUAUUUUUUUUGGGUUCAUAAGUGAUUUUUCCUUCAACUAUAACUACUAUAUUUCUUGGUUGGGUUUUUUUUUUGUGUGUUCUUUUCCUCUGUUUUGUUGUUCCAUCUUCUCUGUUCGUGAUCCUGACACCUGACAUUUGGAGUGUGGAGUUCUAGAAGUCCAAAGUAUUCUUGUUUCUGCCAUCUUGGAGGACAUUCGCUGUUGGUGGAAACUGGCGAGCCGCCCGGUUUUAUGGAACCAAUAUUUCGUGUUGCCCAAUUCAUCUUAUUGGUAGGAAAUUUGAGUUUAUAUUUUCCAUCGUCUAUCGGACACAGGAACGACUGGAAGCCAGAGUCAUAUUUAGUUCUAUUUUUCUGGAACUGAGCUACUAAUCAGUGUUAAAACAAAACAC